UCUGAGAUGGGUAGAGCUUGCUUUAAAGAAGCUGCCGUGGGGUGAACAGCAUUUGAACUGGUUCCUGAAGGCUAGAUUGGAUUUCCCUAGGUGGAGAUGGGGAAAGAGAAAGUAGAGGGAACAUCCUAAGGAAAUGUUCAGAGGUAGAAAAUGGCAGGGAAUGUUUAAGGAUGAUCAUUUGGUGGGCACAGUGUGGACGCCUAAUGAUCGCAUGAGCUGAACAGAACAGCUGCAGGAGAUGAGGGACCAGAUCAUAGCAGGCUUCCUUUCAGUCUUGAAGUGGAGAGUUUGAGCUCUGCAUUCACACGUUGGUGCAGCAUUUGUGUUUCCUGAGGAAAGAAUAAGAAGAUCAGAGCUGAGCUAUAACAACCUUUAUCAGAUGGUGGAAUGGGGACUGUCUUUAAGGGGGGCAGCCUUAAGCAGGGAGACCAACUGUGCAGGCAGUUGGUAGGGACCCAGGUGAGAGGACAACGUGGAGGGUAAGGAAGGAGAGGCCAAGAUGGCGUCCCACUUUCCGUGCCUGAGUGGGGAGAGGGACAGACAGAGAUGGGGAAAGUUUGGGACUAAAGAUGGUAAGUUCCACUUUAUAUUGCAUGAACAAAAUACACAUCAAUUUCUCCUGAAAGCAGAAAUGGCUUUACUUGCUAGAAUUAAAUGGUCAAUAGUUUCCUAAAGUUGACGUUGCUCAGGGAGCGAUUUACCAUGUCAGGGAAAAGCAGUCUUAGGAGUGCUAAUAUGUCUUUCUCAUCAUUAGAUUUCAGAAAUCACAGACAAGACUGUGCCUAAGUGGAGACAAGUAAAUAAAGCUUCCUCUCCCCAACGCCCUGUGCUCUGCACUAAUAGAGAUCCAGCUGCUGGGAGCAAUGAGAGCAGAGGUGAUGUUCGUGGGAUCAAUGCAACCCUGGAUUCUCUUGCCACCAGCCCUGCCUCCUGGGGAGCCAUUGAGUUAGUGGAAUCAGCAGUGGAAGAGAGGAUGAAAUGCAAAUUCAUUGAAGGCCAUACAUUUAACUGUUGGCUAGGAUUCAGUUCCUGCAUUCUGAAGGCCAUCUGAAGGAGCAGCCAGCAUCAGCAGAGGCAGAAAGGAGAGGGUACGCUGGCUCUUAAAGCUUCCGUGCAAGAGAAUUAUCCAUCAUGUUUGCUCACAUUUCCUUGGCCAAAGCAAGUCAUAUGGCCAAGCAUGACUUCAAGAGGGAUAGGAAAAUAGAAUUAUCCUAUGGCUGGGGCAUUGGAUAUGGUGGAGUUGUGUGUCACCAUCUUCAGGCUGACUUCCCUUUCCCUUCAUGCGGAACAACGUCUUUAAUAAAUCUUUUAA